rnacentral:misc_RNA from 1 species
GGCAAUCCUGCCUGUGUGUGCUGAGGUCCCCAUGGUGGCCUUCACGCUGGAGCUGCAGCACGCCCUGCAGGCCAUCGGUCCGACGCUACUCCUUAACAGUGACAUCAUCCGGGCACGCCUGGGGGCCUCCGCACUGGAUAGCAUCCAAGAGUUCCGGCUGUCAGGGUGGCUGGCCCAGCAGGAGGAUGCACACCGUAUCGUACUCUACCAGACGGAC